GACGAACGCUGGCGGCGUGCCUAAUACAUGCAAGUCGAGCGAGCGGAACCAACAGAUUUACUUCGGUAAUGACGUUGGGAAAGCGAGCGGCGGAUGGGUGAGUAACACGUGGGGAACCUGCCCCCUAAGUCUGGGAUACCAUUUGGAAACAGGUGCUAAUACCGGAUAAUAAAGCAGAUCGCAUGAUCAGCUUUUGAAAGGCGGCGUAAGCUGUCGCUAAGGGAUGGCCCCGCGGUGCAUUAGCUAGUUGGUAAGGUAACGGCUUACCAAGGCGACGAUGCAUAGCCGAGUUGAGAGACUGAUCGGCCACAUUGGGACUGAGACACGGCCCAAACUCCUACGGGAGGCAGCAGUAGGGAAUCUUCCACAAUGGACGCAAGUCUGAUGGAGCAACGCCGCGUGAGUGAAGAAGGUUUUCGGAUCGUAAAGCUCUGUUGUUGGUGAAGAAGGAUAGAGGUAGUAACUGGCCUUUAUUGACGGUAAUCAACCAGAAAGUCACGG
rnacentral:rRNA from 1 species